CCCUCCCUUGCCACAAGACUCUCCCCAGUUCCUCUUUCUCACACCCUCACAAUGGUUUCGUUCCUCUUUGGCCUACAUCCUUUCCCAGACAGAGGCAAUGUGUUAACGUGUCCCCACCUGAGACAAAGAAAGGGGCCUUUGUUAUACCUGCAGGAUCCUAAAUAUUAUCAUCAUUUAAUUACUGCCAUUCUCCCAGGCUGACUUCUUGGCAGCAGGCUCUCCUUUAGUUAAAUAGGCUUUUAAGUUUUCCCAGGGAGGCAUCAUCAGAGAUACUUUGUGAAUGGAGACUAAUUUGGGGGUGUUGCUGCUGGUAAAAAGGGGUGACUUCAAGGAGAAAAGGAGAACUAGGUCACGCUUGCUGCGCCUGGUUGCCUGGAAUUGUUCUCCUAGUUGUGCUCAGGGAAAAGGACAACUUGGCUUCAGUCUACUGGAAUGCACAUCAGCUGGGAGUGUCUGCUUGACCCUAAAAGGUUAUGUCAGAAACUUUCAAGUUGUGGAACGUUGCUUGCUCUGUAGAAACACCAGAAGAUCUCACACCUGAAAGGACAACAUUCCAGACAAAAAUGUUCCAUAUCCUGGCCUUUAGAAACGGGAACACUGAUUUGCUGCAGAUGUUAAUGUGACUGUAGGAACACAGAUGGUUCUCAUGCUGCUGGACACUUCUGAUUUUAUUUGGUCAAAGUUAUAACCUGUGUGUUUCCUUAUGAUAUUCUCUUGGGAAAGCUCUGGUGAUGGGUUCCUUUAGUGCUCCAGCUGGAGUGAUCCUUCAAUUGCACUCAUUUGUGGCCACCUAGACUGUCAAAAAAAA
rnacentral:lncRNA from 1 species